GUGCAAGCCAAGUAUAUCCAGCUCCUAACCGGGAGGAAUGUGUCACAGAGACCAUCUGCCCUUCAGCUGCUGCAGAGUGAGCUUUUUCAAACAACUGGAAAUGUAUCUCACAUUGCAGAUGAAGAUAAUAGAACAAGAGAAGGAAAUUGAAGAACUAAAGAAGCAACUAAGCCUCCUUUCUCAGGACAGAGGGCUGAAGAGAUGAGAGGGAAAAUGGGGCCUACCCUGUGGCCUGAGUUAUGCCGCCAAGCAUGUGAAAGUGGACUUGCAUUAUAGUCAAUAGGAAUGUACAUUUCCAACCCUUAGUGAGGACAGGUGUGACUCCCAGUUGUACUGAGAAAACCUAUGUAAAGACUUAAAAGGACCCCAGCUUCCUUUCCCUCAACCCUUCCAUGACCCAAGACUGGACUAAAUGAAGCCUCUUCCUCCCACCUCCUCCAAGUUUUGAUUCCUCAAUUUCCUACUCAAAUGUUACUCCCCACCCCUGAACCUAUUUUUUUAAGCUCUGCCUAUUGACCAGGAAUCCUGCCUUCCUUCCCGAGGGCUGUACUACAGAAUCAGUGCUCCCUCCCCACACCCGCUUGCCUGCCCCAGGAUGACUGCCAGCCUGGCUGCUGUUGCUGUGGCAGCUGCAAGUCUUCCCUGGUCCUUCUGUACUGCUGCCAUGGCCAGUUACCAGGACACUUGAUCACUCCUUGGCUCAAAAUGUCUGUGGGCUCUGUACUGCCUGGAAGGUCAGAGUUCUGCUUCGAAGCACUGUGCACUCUUCCAGCCCUCUGUUCUUUCCACUUGGCAUCAUCCUGCAGCUUGCCCUAAAGUGAU
rnacentral:lncRNA from 1 species